AUAUCUGUCAUAGAGGUCAAUAUUUCACAUAGUCCUCCCACUAUAUAUCUGCUAUAGAGGUCAAUAUUUCACAUAGUCCUCCCACUAUAUAUCUGCCAUAGAGGUCAGUAUUUCACAUAGUCCUCCCACUAUAUAUCUGCUAUAGAGGUCAAUAUUUCACAUAGUCCUCCCACUAUAUAUCUGCCAUAGAGGUCAAUAUUUCACAUAGUCCUCCCACUAUAUAUCUGCUAUAGAGGUCAGUAUUUCACAUAGUCCUCCCACUAUAUAUCUGCCAUAGAGGUCAGUAUUUCACAUAGUCCUCCCACUAUAUAUCUGCUAUAGAGGUCAAUAUUUCACAUAGUCCUCCCACUAUAUAUCUGUCAUAGAGGUCAACAUUUCACAUAGUCCUCCCACUAUAUAUCUGCUAUAGAGGUCAACAUUUCACAUAGUCCUCCCACUAUAUAUCUGCUAUAGAGGUCAAUAUUUCACAUAGUCCUCCCACUAUAUAUCUGCUAUAGAGGUCAACAUUUCACAUAGUCCUCCCACAAUAUAUCUGCUAUAGAGGUCAAUAUUUCACAUAGUCCUCCCACUAUAUAUCUGCCAUAGAGGUCAAUAUUUCACAUAGUCAUCCAAAUAUAUAUAUCUGUCAAAAAAUUAAAAUAAAAUCAGCUUGAAUUGAGCUUGAUGUCUUAUUAUGAAGCAUUCAGUCAUUCUCAGACUGCUCACAUAGUAGUGCUGCUUACAUCCCUUUCCCUAGAUGUACAUUAGUAAUUAAUGUGAUGAACAGUCAUUCCAAUAUGAUGUAUGGUAUUUCAUUAAAUUAUGUAAUGAGACAGAAAUUCAAUGAACAAUAAUAACUAAUGCAUUCUGUUUUACAUGAUCAUUAUUCAUGACUCUCCAUCUUGGAUAAUGGAUGAUCAGAAGAGGGUGAGUAAUUACUUAUUUGUCUGUUUUGUUUAUUGACAACCAAUAACACAAGACAAAGAACAGACCAGAGUGUUAAUCUGAUACUAUAAAAACUACAGGCCUUGUGAACAGCAGUGUGUCUUCUUCAAAGAUACAAAUUAAAUCAGUUUCUUUACAUUUAUCAAUACUCUCCCCAAAUGUUCUCAAGGUAGGUUGGAUUAAGAUGUAUAGAUGUUCUUCAAAUUAUCCAGCAUUUUCACAUCAUAGAUCUCCCACAAUAUAUCUGCUGUGGAGCUCAACAUUUUAGAGGGGUUGAGUUAAAUGCGGAAGACACAUCUCAGUUGAAUACAUUCAGUUGGUCAACUGACUAGGUAUCCCCCUUUCCUUUCCCUUUCACAAUAUAUCUGCCAUGGAGGUCAACAUUUCACAUAGUCCUCCCACUAUAUAUCUGCCAUAGAGGUCAAUAUUUCACAUAGUCCUCCCACUAUAUAUCUGCUAUAGAGGUCAACAUUUCACAUAGUCCUCCCACUAUAUAUCUGCUAUAGAGGUCAACAUUUCACAUAGUCCUCCCACUAUAUAUCUGCCAUUGAGGUCAAUAUUUCACAUAGUCCUCCCACUAUAUAUCUGCUAUAGAGGUCAAUAUUUCACAUAGUCCUCCCACUAUAUAUCUGCUAUAGAGGUCAACAUUUCACAUAGUCCUCCCACUAUAUAUCUGCUAUAGAGGUCAACAUUUCACAUAGUCCUCCCACUAUAUAUCUGCUAUAGAGGUCAAUAUUUCACAUAGUCCUCCCACUAUAUAUCUGUCAUAGAGGUCAAUAUUUCACAUAGUCCUCCCACUAUAUAUCUGCUAUAGAGGUCAAUAUUUCACAUAGUCCUCCCACUAUAUAUCUGCUAUAGAGGUCAAUAUUUCACAUAGUCCUCCCACUAUAUAUCUGCCAUAGAGGUCAAUAUUUCACAUAGUCCUCCCACUAUAUAUCUGCUGUAGAGGUCAAUAUUUCACAUAGUCCUCCCACUAUAUAUCUGCUAUAGAGGUCAACAUUUCACAUAGUCCUCCCACUAUAUAUCUGCUAUAGAGGUCAACAUUUCACAUAGUCCUCCCACUAUAUAUCUGCUAUAGAGGUCAACAUUUCACAUCCCAAAAUGAACAUGGAAUCAGCUUGAAUUCAGUUUAAUGUCCGAGUAUGAAUCAUUCUGUGAUGUUUAGACUGUUCCAAUAGUAGCACUGCUUACAUCCCUUUCCCUAGAUGUACAUUAGUAAUGAAUGUGAUGACCAGUCAUUCCAAAAUGAUGUAUGGUAUUUUAUUAAAUUAUUGAAAUGAGACAGAAAUUCAAUGACCAAUAAUAACUAAUGCAUUCUGUUUUACAUGAUCAUUAUUCAUGACUCUCCAUCUUGGAUAAUGGAUGAUCAGAUGAGGGUGAGUAAUUACUUAUUUGUCUGAUUUGUUUAUUGACAACCAAUAACACAAGACAAAGAACAGACCAGAGUGUUAAUCUGAUACUAUAAAAACUACAGGCCUUGUGAACAGCAGUGUGUCUUCUUCAAGGGAACAAACUAAAUCAGUUUCUUUACAUUUAUCAAAACUCUUCCCAAAUGUUCUCAAGGUAGGUUGGAUUAAGAUGUAUAGAUGUUCUUCAAAUUAUCCAGCAUUUUCAUAUCAUAGUCCUCCCACAAUAUAUCUGCUAUGGAGGUCAACAUUUCACAUAGUCCUCCCACUAUAUAUCUGCUAUAGAGGUCAAUAUUUCACAUAGUCCUCCCACUAUAUAUCUGCUAUAGAGGUCAAUAUUUCACAUAGUCCUCCCACUAUAUAUCUGCCAUAGAGGUCAAUAUUUCACAUAGUCCUCCCACUAUAUAUCUGCUAUAGAGGUCAAUAUUUCACAUAGUUCUCCCACUAUAUAUCUGCCAUAGAGGUCAAUAUUUCACAUAGUCCUCCCACUAUAUAUCUGCUAUAGAGGUCAAUAUUUCACAUAGUCCUCCCACUAUAUAUCUGCUAUAGAGGUCAACAUUUCACAUAGUCCUCCCACUAUAUAUCUGCUAUAGAGGUCAAUAUUUCACAUAGUCCUCCCACUAUAUAUCUGCUAUAGAGGUCAACAUUUCACAUAGUCCUCCCACUAUAUAUCUGCUAUAGAGGUCAAUAUUUCACAUAGUCCUCCCACUAUAUAUCUGCUAUAGAGGUCAAUAUUUCACAUAGUCCUCCCACUAUAUAUCUGCUAUAGAGGUCAAUAUUUCACAUAGUCCUCCCACUAUAUAUCUGCUAUAGAGGUCAAUAUUUCACAUAGUCCUCCCACUAUAUAUCUGCUAUAGAGGUCAAUAUUUCACAUAGUCCUCCCACUAUAUAUCUGCUAUAGAGGUCAAUAUUUCACAUAGUCCUCCCACUAUAUAUCUGCUAUAGAGGUCAAUAUUUCACAUAGUCCUCCCACUAUAUAUCUGCCAUAGAGGUCAAUAUUUCACAUAGUCCUCCCACUAUAUAUCUGCUAUAGAGGUCAAUAUUUCACAUAGUCCUCCCACUAUAUAUCUGCCAUAGAGGUCAAUAUUUCACAUAGUCCUCCCACUAUAUAUCUGCUAUAGAGGUCAAUAUUUCACAUAGUCCUCCCACUAUAUAUCUGCCAUAGAGGUCAAUAUUUCACAUAGUCCUCCCACUAUAUAUCUGCUAUAGAGGUCAAUAUUUCACAUAGUCCUCCCACUAUAUAUCUGCUAUAGAGGUCAAUAUUUCACAUAGUCCUCCCACUAUAUAUCUGCUAUAGAGGUCAAUAUUUCACAUAGUCCUCCCACUAUAUAUCUGCCAUAGAGGUCAAUAUUUCACAUAGUCCUCCCACUAUAUAUCUGCUAUAGAGGUCAAUAUUUCACAUAGUCCUCCCACUAUAUAUCUGCCAUAGAGGUCAAUAUUUCACAUAGUCCUCCCACUAUAUAUCUGCUAUAGAGGUCAACAUUUCACAUCCCAAAAUGAACAUGGAAUCAGCUUGAAUUCAGUUUAAUGUCCGAGUAUGAAUCAUUCUGUGAUGUUUAGACUGUUCCAAUAGUAGCACUGCUUACAUCCCUUUCCCUAGAUGUACAUUAGUAAUGAAUGUGAUGACCAGUCAUUCCAAAAUGAUGUAUGGUAUUUUAUUAAAUUAUUGAAAUGAGACAGAAAUUCAAUGAACAAUAAUAACUAAUGCAUUCUGUUUUACAUGAUCAUUAUUCAUGACUCUCCAUCUUGGAUAAUGGAUGAUCAGAUGAGGUCUCAGGAUCACGGUAUUUACAACGUGAGACCCAGGAGGACAAGCUGAAGAGGGAGGCAUCAGCUGGUGAGCUUGAGAUGUUUAAAGAGAUGAUGAAACAACUAAAGGAUAGAAACAUUCAACUAGAGGCUCUGAGAAAGAACCUGCAGGACAAGAACAGCCAAGUAGAGAACUUCAGAGUCCUACUGGAGGAACAAGACCUUCAACUAGAGGACAGGAACCACAGACUGGGAGAGAAGGAC